AUGUUAUCUUAACCUCAUUGGUUUUGAUACAUGAUCAUCAAAUGGGCAUGUGUCUCAUUUGUACUCUUUUUCCCUUGUCAAGUUUUCUCUCAAUGGGUUUUCUUGACAAGGUUUUUAAUGAGGCAAAUGAUUCACAUUCAAAUCACCCAUUUGAUGAUCCAAACCAUGGUAUAACAUUCAGAAGUUGGCCCAAUGGAAUAUAGGGAAAAAUGUCAAUUAAUCUCCCAACUUUCAAAAAAUGGUCAUUUUAUACAUCAACUUCGUAUGCGGCCGUUUAAAACAUGAACUAAACGUUGACUAACUUUUAAAACAUGAUUAUUCGUUGACCAGGCCAAAAUAGAUAUGCCGUUAUCAGUCAUUAACGGAACUUCUAACGUCUGUUAUCAUCCGUUACGACUUUAUUAGUCAAGUUUUAAAUUGUGGCCAUUUUAAACAUCGACUUUAUAUGUGGCCAUUUUAAACAUGAACUAAGCGUUGACUACCAUUUAAAACAUGAGAAAUUCGUUGACCAAGCCAAAAUAAACAUGUUGUCAUCAUUCAUUAAAAGAACUUAUAACAUUCAUUAUCACUUGUUAACGACUCUAUUAGUAUCCCUAAAACGACUUUGUUUUGAGAAUAAUCAAAAGAAAAUCAGGAUUUUUUUCUAAAUGGAACCUCAAUUCCCCAAAUCUAUUUCUACAACCGCUCAAACAAGACGAACAAUCUUAUAAUGAGUCUUCAAUUUGCUUCCAUGAUUCCUUUUAAAAUUUAAAACAAAUAUAUAAACGAAAACACCUUUAUUUGCUUCCAAUUACUGGCACUGCGAUUAUCUCUAUAUCAAACUAUGUUCUUGGGUUCUGCUUAAAACUUUUUGAUAUGGAGAUUUCAUAUGGGAAAAAUCUUUAUGUUCUUUCGAUUAUUCUCAAACGACGUUGUUUUGGACAGAUUAACAGUCAUUAACGGGUUUCUAAGUUCUACUGAUAAAGACAUGUCUAUUUUGGCCUGGUCAACGAAUUUUUCAUGUCUUAAAUGGUAGUCAACGUUUAGUUCAUGUUUUAAAUGGCCACAUAAGAAGUUGGUGUUUAAAAUGGCCACAAUUUGAAACUUGACUAAUAAAGUUAACGGAUGAUAACGGACGUUAGAAGUUCCGUUAAUGACUGAUAACGGCAUGUCUAUUUUUGCCUGGUCAACGAAAGAUCAUGUUUUAAAAAUUAGUCUACAUUUAGUUCAUGUUUUAAACGGCCACAUACGAAGUUGAUGUAUAAAAUGGCCAUUUUUUAAAAGUUGGGGGAUUAAAUGACAUUUUUCCCAUGGAAUAUAUAUGAAGUCCAGCCAAUUUUAUGACCAUCACAAGCCCAAGAAGAGCCCAAACCAAGUGGGUAAUUUGCUGGUCAAGAGGAGUGACGAAAAUAGCAUUUCAAGAGUCAUUUUGGAGCCAAGAAGUGGAAGGGUUAUUUUUAAACUUUCAAACUAGUCUUUAUUUCUUUUUAUUUUCCAAGGUAGUCUUGUGAGUGUGUUCCAAGACUUCCUUCUUCUUUAUAAACUCCUUGUAAUCUCUUAUGAGAACUCAUCUAUCUUUUUAUCAAAAACUCUCUCUUAAAAUAGAUCAUGGAUCCAUUUUCGUAUGUCGAAUUUUGAUCUUUCUCGACUUAUCGAAAGGCUUUUCCGCAUCCUUUUUUGGCGUCAUUCAAUCCAUCAUCUCGUCUUUGAGUUGUGUGUCGUCUCUAUUUCGAGAAUAUCCACUACAAAUCUUCCAAGUGCCGAAAUUGGGAUUAAUUCCUACCAGGAUCAUAUCAUGUGGUAUCAGAGCACACUUGGAGAUUGAGUCGUUUCUGUCUGUCAUCUUGUUUUAAUUUUCAUAAU
rnacentral:sRNA from 1 species